rnacentral:tRNA from 1 species
GCGCCGGUAGUGUAGUGGUUAACAUGCUGGUUUCCCAAACCAGUGGCCCGGGUUCGAACCCCGGCCGGCGCA